GCCGUCGUUUUCUUCGACGCGGCAUUUUGUUUCACCCUCGACUCGAGGCCGCCGGUAACAGUUGCAUUCGCAUCGGGCGAGUUUCGCAGAGAACCAAUAGCAAAUUCAACCAUGUCGAAUGAAGUGAGGGAUCCUCUCCUGCCCGAUAGAAAUCUCAUCUCCAGUCUUCAAUCCCUGGUAGACUCUCUCCAAAACAGAGUUAAGGAAUUAGAGGAAGAGAAUGCAAAGCUAUCGUCUCGACUUUCAAGUUGUUGCUGUCAUAAGAUAGAGGAAGCAUUUGACAGAGUUGUUGUAGAUUGUAAUGGUCUUCUUGCUGAAGGAAGGGAAUCAAAAACAGGUGGUAAAGCGACCACAAAGAAGAAAGUAGUAGAGAAAAUUUCAGGUUCUAACACACGGACCAUAAAUCACCAUUGCAAGAGAUAUGUUGCUCUGAAAAUCAUGUACUUCGGGAAAAGGUUCUAUGGUUUUGCUUCAGAGGCACAAAUGGAUCCAACUAUUGAGUCAGAAAUUUUCAGUGCUUUUGAGAAAACAAGGCUACUAGUUGGUGACAAGAAGGAGUUACAGUACUCGAGGUGUGGUAGGACAGAUAAGGGAGUUUCCUCAGUUGGACAAGUGAUUGCUCUCCUUUUACGAUCAAGCCUCAAGGAAACUGAUGCAAGCAAUGAAAACUCUGAAAAAAUUGUUUUCAAAGAGCAACAUGAACAAGAAAUAGAUUAUGUAGGGGUGCUGAAUCGAGUCCUUCCUGAUGAUAUUCGAGUUUUAGGCUGGUGUCCAGUUCCAGUUGGCUUCAGUGCAAGGUUUAGUUGUUUGAGCAGGGAGUAUAAAUAUUUCUUUUGGAGGGAGAACCUGAAUUUCUUGGCUAUGGAGGAGGCAGGAAAAAAGUUUCUUGGGGAACACGACUUCAGAAAUUUUUGUAAAAUGGAUGCAGUAAAUGUGCACAACUAUAAGCGGAAUAUCACACUGUUCGAAAUUUGUCCUUCUGAUGUGAGGUAUGAUGGCAAUCAACUUUGGGCAUUUAAAAUUAAAGGUAGUGCUUUCUUGUGGCACCAAGUCCGUUGCAUGGUUGCUGUACUAUUAAUGAUCGGCCAAGGUCUUGAAUCCCCUGAUGUGAUAGAUACAUUAUUGGAUACUGAGAAGACACCAAGGAAACCUCAGUAUACCAUGGCUCCAGAGCUUCCAUUGGUUCUUCAUUCCUGUGAAUUUGAGAGUAUCGAGUUUAUUUGUUCAGCAGGUAUUUACAAAAUGCCGGACAAGCCCUGCGUAUGCAUUUGGCAAAUCAAUGUCGCAAUUACCAGCUCCAGGCCGCAAUAUUUAAUGAUGCUCUGCUUAGCUGUUUGCCGAUAUCAAGCGGUCAGAGAUCAUUAAAGGGAACAACCAAGAAAAAAGCUUCCCAUAUUCCGCUUAUGUCACGGCCAACUGAGCCAUCAUAUGAAGAACGACGUCUGAAAUUGAACUCCAAAACAUAUGGUCUAUCAAAAUCCUCUUGAAGAGUAUGCACUGCCAUGCAGAUCAACCAUGCUUUAUGGCAGCGUAAGGUUAUUUUUGCAAGUGAUGUAAUUUUCAAGCAAUGAAUUUUAGUAGUUGGCAGCUGAUGUUCUUCAAUAGGAGAAAAUAUUUAUCCUUACAAGGUACGUUUCUCCUCUCAUAUGCUGGUCGGCAAUUUGUUUUCAUCUCUUCAGGCCCUUUUAAGUAUAAGGGUAAUGUUAUAUACAGUCUUGGAGUGUGCAGUCUCCGCGCAUAGUCCAUUUGAAAAAAAGUGAGGACUACAAUUAAAAAUACAAUUUUUUUGUGGGUCCAGAUUUAUUCACUUUUCUCAAGAAGAGUACAUGCGCGUGGAUUGCACACUCCAGGACUACUGCAAAUAUCAUCUCUCUUUAAAAUAAAAAAGAGAAUCUUUGUUAUUGGAUUUCACAA